UGCGCGUGCGCACUGACCCGAGGGGGGGCGGGGCUCGAGCUUCUCGUGGAGGGUGAUCGGGAAGCCGUGGCGGGCGCAUGCGCGUCCGGAUCGGCUAGUUCCUAGUCCUGAGUCCCUCCAUCUGCCCCGGUUCUCAGCAAAGCUUGGUGGGGGCAGCCGCCGCCGCCGCCGCCGCCGCCCAGGGCAUGGCAGCCAAGGUCCCGCCGCCUGUGUGUAAAGGGGGGGGGCUGCCCCCCGUGGCCAAGGUGAGGGCGGCUGUGGGGUGUGAGCCCCGGCUCCCUCGGACAGGCGGGCGCCCAGCAGCCCCGCGAGAGCCCCGGCCGCUGCCAGGCGGGCUCAGCCCGGCCGUCCCGCCGUCGCCCGCGCCUGGGGUCUCAGAAAGCAGCGAGCCCUCCGGGCCUCUGGCGGGGAGCCCCGUGCCCUGGGGCAGCGGCGCAGCGCGGCACCCGCGGUUCUGAGCGGCUGCCCGGGGCUGGCAGCAUCCAGCAGCGGCAGCUCCGUGGGGAAGGAAGUGCCACCGGCGCUUAGAAACUCCUCCUGCCCUGCCAGGGAUAAGGGAUUGCUGUCUACCACCUGGAACCACAAUUCCAGACAGCAUUUUUUUCCUGAGAAUUGGUUUGGUGAGUUAUCACUUUUAAUGGUUUUGCUUUGGAUGCAACUGAAUUUAAAAUAUAUCCAGCAAAAUGUAGUAUUUUGCUACAGUAUGUACUGUACAAAAUAUAUUGUCAAAAUUUAAUGCAUUAAGUACGAGAAGAGACUUUGACAUUAUUUUUGUAAUCCCUGCUGAUAUCUUCCGCACUGCAUUUAGGAAAGUUCCCGCAUUUCAUUUCAUUUAAUACAUUUUGGCCCCAAUCAUGCAAAGACUUACAUGUGCUGAAAUAAAGUUGAGUUAUAUCAGACUACUCACAAUGAGUAAAAUUAAGUACAUAUGAAAUCUUUGUAGGUCAGGGCCAUAUAUUUCAGAUAUAGUUGCUUAACAAUGAAAUAGUCUUGGAAGAAUAGUGAUAGAAAUCUUAUUCCUAGAGUCAUGUAAAACUAGACUGGACAGAGCUCUAGUUAAUACAUAUGGGGGAGCAGUUCUACACUGGUAGAGGUGGAUAUGAUGACUCAGCAGGCUUUUUCCGUCUUUGAUUUCUUUAAUUCUAUAGAAGAUGGAAUGUUUUAAGUUCUUCUUAUUGCAAUAUCUUCUAGAGAAAGCAUUGAACAGUUAGCCUAUAUGAUUCCCAUUUAAUUUUAUCUCCUUUGCGUUUAGGUUUUUUUUUUCUUUUUUUUAAAUGUAGAGACUUUUUAGCAAAUUGUUAAAACUGUAUUUACAUUUGGACUAUUACUAGGGACAUGUGUGGGACUAAUAACAUUAACUACCUUUUACAUUCAAUAUUUUCAUUUUUUUUUUAAAAAAAAAUCAAGCUUGGUGAAAUCUUGUUUGGACUGUGUUAUAUAUACAUCUCACACGAUAUACUUCAUUUUCCCAAAUAGAAUUUAUUUUUCACAAGAUUAAGACAUUUUUGGACCUGAUCCUGUUAGGUUCUGAGUGAACUCAAACUACUGAAGUCAAAUGGGAGAGUUGAAGGUGCUCAACACCUCAAAAGAUUGGGCCCUGGGAAGCUAAAGCCCUGAUCAGGCAAAAACUUACCUGCUUAACUGUCCCUUAAAUUGAUUCUAUUCACAGGCCUCAAUUCAACAGUCCAUUUCUGUUCACAAAGCAUGUGUUAGGUACUUUGCUGAAUAAAGAUGGCCUUAAGCAUCUGCUUAAAUGCUUGGCUGAAUUGGGGCUUCAGUGCAUUAAAUUAAGCCUGUGUAUAAAGUCUUUACAAGGUCUGGGCCUAUUAAUGGCUUCCGAUGUUGGUAAACUUUUAAGUACUGUAUGGAACUCGGCUUCCUGAUUUUUUGUAUCUAUUUCAUUCCUUAAACAUACUAGUUCAAUUAGAAUUCAGUGGAGUUACAUCAAGGAUGAAUUUUGUCCCAUUGCCCUUUAAUUCAGUCACACCAGCUCUUUUGAGUCCAUCCAACUCUUACAUCCAUUUUACAUGAAUGAACUCUUGAUUUGCACAAGAGAAUGUGAGGAGAAAACCAGACCCUAUUAAUAUCCCUGGUUUUGAGGAGCCAUGUACGUAUGGACAUAUACAGGCUCCAAAUGGACACUCUGUGAUAUCUGAAGACUGGCUUAGGUUUAUUUUUAAUUUUUAACAAAAAUGAAAUAUAAAAUAAACAUGGACAUUUUGGCUGAAAAACAAUUGUAAAACUAAUCUUGUUCUUGAGUGACUAGUAGCCAUCUGUAACUGAAUUUAUGUAUCCUGUAAGAUUGUUCCAGUUGUAACUGCCCUUCUUUCCUUAGGCCAUUUUCUUUGAUGGUGUGUAACACACACUUACUAUUUUUAACCUUAACAAUAGAUUUAGCAGCUGGCAGGCCUUGCUACACAUAAUCUACACCCAGCUGAUCUACACAGAAAGGGUCUUCUGGCAUGCAGCUUGUCACAAAAUCGAGCACAUCAAGCUCUGACAGUUUGAACAAGGGAGGUUUUUAAAUGUCUAACUGUAACACAUAACAAAAUCCUGCUGAACAAGGAGAUACUUUUAAAAACAACUAAAAAGAAAACCAAACCGAAAUGAGAAGCUCUCCUUUCGUUGGGACUUGUCAUGUCUGCAAAAAAAUUUAUACAAUCAAUAAAAUCAUAAUUAAAGCUGAUUGCUUGCCAGGGAAUGUAUCUACUCAAUUGAUAAAUCCACUAACUGAAAUAAAAAAUAUACUAACCAGGAGAAAAUGGCUUAAUCAUCAUAGUUGGAGGGGCCUAAACUGAAUUCUCUUUUAAAGAAUUGUUGAAAGAAUAAAGCCAAACUGAAGAUGUCAAAACAUUUAUUGCUCAAUAGCUAGCAAGAUAGUAACAUAGUAUUUUUGCAAAUAUGACUAUUAAAAGUAAGUACAUUUAACACUUUCUCAUAAAACUUAUUAAAUGACUUUUCUUUUAGUUAAAUAAUUUUUGUUAUUAAUACUGUUUUCUGCAUGUACAUUAAUAAUAUUUUGUCUACAAUACAUUUUGUCCAAAAGGAUCUUAAAGUGCAUUACAGACUGUAUGUGCAAAGAUCAUGUUAUAGUUUGUGAAAUGUAGCCAGAUCUAAGGUAGAACACAGCAGCCAUUCCACACAAGCAACAUUAAAAAACAUUUAUAAGAGAAAAGUGAAACUAGUACGAAUUCAGUUCAAACUGUAUUUAUAAAGUGCUACAUUAAAUAUAAUGAGCAAUCCAGCUAGGUAUGAGAUCCAAUUAAGACUCUCUAUAAAUGAGACCAGUGAAAGAUAAUAGAAAAUGUUUUAGAGGGUUGAAAAUUCACUUACCUGCAGUAGUAGAUUGCGUUUUUCUCAUCCAUUCAUAAGAGCCAUGCUUUUGACUGUUGGAAGAGAUUUGCUCUGCAUUAAUUGUAUCUACAGGAGGUAAAACUCCAGAUCCAGCAGGAUGCAGGGAAUUGUAAUCAGUAGAGCUGUAGGAGACCUGCCCAGGAGACGAGCCAUUGAUUUGUGCAGCAGUAACUAUGCUGGAGGGUCCUGGGCCAUAAGUAUUCCAGUCUUCCCUUUGCAUGCCAUAGUGGGAUCCCCAACCUCCUGAAGACUGUCCAUGGUUGUCCAUGCUUGGCACAUGAUGAUAUCCCAUGUAAUCUGAAUAGGAUGGAGUGGAGACAAAAUUUUGCACUGGUAGGUUGUUGUUGCACCUUACGGAUCCUGGAUACAUGCUGGUUUCUUUAUCCAAAAGAUAACUUACGUACAUGAUGGUUGCAACUGGUGAAAGAACUUUGUUAAGACAUCCUGUUCAUCAAUGUUUUCUUUCACUCUUUAAAAAAAAAAAAUUGUUUUCCUGAUCUUAAUAAAUGAUAUUCUACUUGGAAUCUUCUAACUCAUCCUGUAUUAUCAACAACUGUUUUUACCAGGUGCUGGUGGUAAUGGUUUACCAAGAUCUUGUCUGACGUCAGGGUAACUGCCUGCCUCAUAAUUACAUUUGCAUUCAAAUGAAGGGCUGACCAUCCAGGCAACCCCACCUUGCUGCUAGUUCUAGUGCUUCCUUUUUCACAGAUCUUUUAUGUAUCCUACCCCCAUUCCCACUCACCUAAAACAAUUCCACCACAGCACAAUGAUGUUGAAAUUGCUUGUGCUUCUAGAAAAAAAAAUUGUUUUUUAAAAUCUAUAUAGGUAACUAUAAUUGCAAUUUAUAUGUUGCCAAAAGGAUUUUGCCUCAGCUCUUUUAAAAUGAGGACUUUUGUCUAAAGCAUUUAUUUAUAUAGUUUUAAGGGGGAUAAAGUAUACUGGUAAAUAUGUUUAUUAAACCUUUAUAUUCUGAACUUCACAAAUUACUUGUUUAUCUUUCAACUCUUUUUAAAGGGAUACUACCCACUUGAAUAUUUUGUAACUGUCCAGUUUCAGAGAAGUCCAAUUUCUAUAGACCAACCCUUUAAGUAGUAUGUCUUGAAUUUUUAAAAUAUAAUUCUUUAAAAAUGUGUGCUCAUAGUGGUUUUUUCUUUUCUGGUGAUAUUUAUUAGUCUUUUCAGCAUGGGAGAUGUUAAUUCCCUAACCUUGCAAUGAGCAUGGCUAGACUUUUGCGCCCAUAUGGAGCCCCAUUGACUUCACAGGGGUUUAAAGGGAUUUACCGAUGUAGAGUCCACUGCUGGAUCAGGGGCUAACUGACUAACUUUUCAAGGUAAGCAGUGCAACAGAUCAGACACAGGUGGUAUCAAAAGCAACCAAAUUAAAUAAGUGGAGUAAAAAAAAAAAUUUAUCCAAAUUUCCUUCAGUUCUAGUCUUCUUGGGUGUUACUAACAGGAAAUAUACAAUUCUGAGACAAAUGUGAUUUUUGAAGUUUACAUUUUCUUUUCAGGUGAAAUUGGUGGGACACAUCUUAAUUGUCAGCUCUCUGAAUUUGACUUCAUACCUGUAUGUAGAGCACCUAGCACACCCUGGAUGCUAUAAAAGAUUGGCUACAAACAUUUUUGGUGUGAAAUCUCAAGUGCAAUUGACCUGGGGUAAGUGAGUCAUCUAUUGGGACUGGGAGUAACCUGAAUAUUGCUGUUUUAAUUCUUGGGGUAAAGGACCAUCUAUCACAAAGGUCUGCUCACCUGGGUGGUGAGAUAGAUCGGCGUGCCCGAAGGGUCUGUCUGUGAGUCCAUGUUAAAGCUGUUACAGUGCCUGAUGAGUUUACACUUGAUAAUUGGUUGGUGAAAUCUAAGUACAGAACUCACAACCAGUUUGGGGUUUAUCACUUGCUUCCUAACAGUCUGCCCUGAGGUUGGCACUCAUGCUUUCGAGUCACAUCGGGCAGCUUUGCAUCAGCAUCAGCUGGAUGACUGGUGAGGAGUCGCUAAAGAGAAAGGAGCGGGGAGCAUUCAUACAAACUUGGCAUUCCUUAUGAUUCGAUCCCUUUGCUGCUCUUAGGUAGCGGUAGCUCCCAAACUGGGUUUUAGGCAAAGCUUACCACUUUUGUUUCUUGGGUACAACACAAAGUUCCAUCAUGGUGAGAUUUACCUUGGGUCAAGUAACUGAUGGGAAGGAUGCAGCAAAGAUGUCUUGGAAGGCCUAGGUAGUCCUGGGGAAUACUAGUGGAAAAGUUCACCUUCUUGUGGUUCUGGCUCAGUGCAGUGAAUACGCUUAGCCUAAUAUAAACAACCAACCACCCGUUCCUAACCGCUAACUAAUUUACAAACACAUUGCUGGAAAGAGAUGCAAUGAGAUUUCAGGACAUGCCAGAGUGCCUUUCUGGGACUGCUGAAAGCAUUUCGAUUUGCCUGAUGAAUAAGUGACACAAAAAGCAAAAAGUUCCAGCUGGCACCCACUGUUGCCUUUUCAGCAGACAAUCCUGUCACUGAGUGAGGCAACAGGGAAUCCCAGCUAUUCACACUCACACAACUCAAUCCAAACUCAGCAAAGCGGGUUUCUCAUUGCCAGCUGGCAUGCCCCAAGGUGAUAGCAGAUCUCUGAGCACUGACCGCACCUGUUGAAAGACUUAUUACUGUGAUUUAUUUUCCAUUGCAUUGCCCGCGGAAAUGGGAAGAAUUGGCCUUGUCUGUUGAUGUGGAUCAUGAAAAAGAAUUAUACUCCUGAGCAGCAGAAUUAAGUAAUCUCUUCCAGGGACCAAGUGGAUUGUGCAUGGCACAGAAUUCCUGGAGUUUGGACGGGUCAUCAUGCAGUACUCAUGGUGCUGAGAGAAAGGAACCUGUGUGCAAAGACCUGAAAGUCAGGAAACAAAGAGAUGUUCCUCUGUUUAUAAAUGCUUCCACUGAAGUCCCCAUAUAUGAUGUGCAAAAGCAAAGAGACCUCAGGCUGGUCCAGGGUCACAGGAAUUGCUGUGUCACAAGAGAUCAAUGGUUCUUUGAGUCUGGCAUCCUGUCUCCAACUCUGGACAAUAUUAGAUGCUUCAGAGGAAAGUGUAAAGACUCCAUAUGCACUAAUUUGUGUUGCCUUUAUACCAGCUUGAGAAUUUAUUUCAUAGUGCUCCAAACACGAGCAUAUCAUCUGCAAUGGCUACAGCUUCAUGUAUCCUGGCAUAUAUUUAUGCUGUUCCAUGUUGGUUAUUAAAUGUAGUAAGCACUGACAUUUCUACGUGUAUUUAUUUUCCAGUAUUCAGAUCCUCGCAUACACUGGACAUUAGCCAAUUUACUUGUUACUGUAUCAGGCACGUACCUGGUAAUAUUCUUCCUUGAUUCUCUUGUACAUGUCUCAUAGAUCUAGCCACAGUCACAACUCUCCUGUGCCAUGG